rnacentral:rRNA from 1 species
UACGGAGGGUGCAAGCGUUAUCCGGAUUCACUGGGUUUAAAGGGUGCGUAGGUGGGUCUGUAAGUCCGUGGUGAAAUCUCCAAGCUUAACUUGGAAACUGCCAUGGAUACUAUAGGUCUUGAAUACCGUGGAGGUGAGCGGAAUAUGUCAUGUAGCGGUGAAAUGCUUAGAUAUGACAUAGAACACCAAUUGCGAAGGCAGCUCACUACACGAAUAUUGACACUGAGGCACGAAAGCGUGGGAUCAAACAGG